rnacentral:rRNA from 1 species
UACGAAGGGUGCAAGCGUUACUCGGAAUUACUGGGCGUAAAGCGUGCGUAGGCGGUUCGUUAAGUCCGUUGUGAAAGCCCUGGGCUCAACCUGGGAAUGGCAGUGGAUACUGGCGAGCUAGAGUGUGAUAGAGGAUGGUGGAAUUCCCGGUGUAGCGGUGAAAUGCGUAGAGAUCGGGAGGAACACCAGUGGCGAAGGCGGCCAUCUGGAUCAACACUGACGCUGAGGCACGAAAGCGUGGGGAGCAAACAGG